rnacentral:lncRNA from 1 species
CCUCACCCCCUAUUGUUUUGUAUUUUACUUUGACAUAGGGUCCUACAAAGUCACUAAGUUGCUCAGGCUGGGCUCAAACCUGCAUUUCUCCUGCCUCAUUCCCAGAAUGCUAGGAUUAUAGGUGCUCAUCAUCAAGCCAGGCUAUCAGUGCUUGCCUCAAUGACUGAGAAAGGUACUUGUUGGAGCUCAGAAAAUGUAUACCAAAAUAUGCCACUUUGGACUUCAAGCUGGGGCACCAGAAGAUCUGCAAAGGCAGGAGAGGAGCAUUCUCUGAAGUUCCCCUAUUUAAGAGAAGUUCCUCAGAAUGAAGGCAGUUGUUUUGAGCAUCUUGCCUCUUAUCUUACCAAAGGGUGAAGUUUAGCUCCCAGGAAAGAACAGAGCUGAUAACACACCCAGAGCCCAGCUGAGUUUGUCCCUGGCAACUGUCUGUUUUGGGGCCCUUCAUUUACCUAAAAUUUAUUAACCCUCUGAAAUCACCCAUACCCCCCAGCUCCCUCUCUUCGAUGAAGGGCAUACAAGCUUCUAGAGCUCAUUAGGCUGUUGGUACUCACUCUUCUGUGAUGCCCCUGUGCACACUGUAUGCUAUUUUGCCUGUGAUUGGUGUAUUGUCAGCUUAUUUCAUCAAAUUCAAUGAUCAGACUUUAAGAGGAUGGAAGGGAAUUUUCCUUCAUUACUCCACAUCCAACAACAUAAUGUUCAUAGCAUCUAAAAUCUAACAAAAAUUACUAGAUAAGCCAAAAAAGCAUAAUAUCACAAACUGAACUGUAUCUAGAAGAAAAAAAUGAGUUAAUAAAAAUAGACCCAGAAAAAAAAAAAUAGACCCAGAAUGAUUAUGAGGAGGAAUGUGGUAAAAAAAAAAAGACUAUAAAAUCACUAUUAAACAUAUGUCAAGGGGGGCUGGGGAUUUAGCUCAGCGGCAAAGCGCCUGCCUGGCAAGCGCAACGUCGUGAGUUCGGUUCCCGGUACCGGAGAAAAACCAAAAAAAAAAAAAAAACAUAUGUCAAGGAAUGAAAGAAUAGGUCAAUGUAAUGAGGAAAGGAAUGGGUCUACAUACAAAAAUUCAUGAGUCAUUGCUGGGAAUAUACUGUAGCUCAAUGGUAGAACAAUCACUUAGUAUGCACAAGGCUCUGGGUUUAAUCCUCACUAUUGCAAACAAAACAAAAAUUCAUGAGACAGACUUAACAGCUGAUUAGAAUCUGCAGAAGGAAAGAUCAGUGAACUUGAAGACAUAACAAAUAAAAUUCGCUAAUGAAAUAUAGAAGGAAAAAUGGCUAGAAAAGUAAUAAGAGAUUUCUAAUUAUUUAUAAGGCACUUAUGUAUGUCUAAUUGGAAUUCCAAAAGAAUAGAGAGAGUAGAAAAAUAUUUGGAGAAAUAAUAGCCAAAAUUCUUAAAAAUCUGAUAAUAAUCAUAAAUCUACAGGCCCAAGAAUCUUAACAAAUCACAAUGAGGAUACAAAAAGAAAACCAUGCUGAUAUAUACCAUAAUCAAUUUGCCAGAAACCUAUAAUAAAGAGAAAACAAACAAAACAAUCUUAGUUAAAAAGGCACAUUAUAUAGAGAGGAACAGAUAUAAAACACAGAGACAGAUAACGAAUAUUUGUCUACUUUCAAAAGACAAAAAGAGAUAGCAGAAUUUUCAUUUAUUGGGGCUGGGGAUUUAGCUCAGCGGCAAAAGCGCCUGCCUGGCAAGCGCAAGGUCAUGAGUUCAGUUCCCAGUACCGGAGAAAAACCAAAAAAAAAAAAAAAAAAGAAUUUUCAUUUAUUUAGCAGAGAAAUGAUGUAUUAGUCAGCUUUUCAUCACGACAAUGUACUACCUGAUGCAGGUGACUUACAAAGUAAAGUUUACUUAACUCACAGUUGUGGAAGCUGAAAGUCCAAACAGCAUAACACAGGCUCUGGUGAAGGCCCUAUGGUGGGAACAAGUAUAGGACAGUGAUUAUAUCACAACCAGGAAGAGGAGAGAAAAG